CCAAUUUUAGGAUAACUCCAGAUAACAGAGACAGGCUGGGCGUGACGAACUGACACAGCACAAAGAUCUGUGCUCACAGUCAGGGAACUUUAGCUUUAUUUCAACUUUAAUCUGAUUCAUUCAGGUUUGAAACUCAGGCUCUGUUAUUCACUGCAAAUACCAACACAGACUAAGAGUCGAAUCAAAACCACACGGCAGUCGGAUUAAAACUGCACCGUAACACCAACAUGUCUGCUGGGACUGCAGCGCUCUGCUCGAUUUUGCUGUUUGUCUUCGUGGCUGAGUCUGCAGACCCGAAAAACAUCACAGCUGAGUCUGGACAGAACGUCACUCUGACAUGUCGAGCUCCAAACAACAUCGACUAUGUAAAGUGGAGCAGAGCUGACCUGGGAGAUGAACAUGUUCUUUUGUACAGGGAUGAUAAUCUUGUUUCAGACAACCAGCAUCCAUCAUUUAAGAACCGGGUGGAUCUGCAGGACAGACAGAUGAAGGAUGGAGACGUGUCUUUGAUUCUGAAGGAUGUGAUGAUUAAUGACGCUGGAAUAUACGAGUGUCGUGUGAUGAGACAGGGAGAAGGUUUAAGUCUCAUCACAAGUGUCUACCUUCAUGUUGUUCCUCCAGGUCAGACAGGAGGAUCUGGUGGACUGAAAGCUGGUCUGGUAGUUCCUGCUGUGCUUCUUGUUGCUGCUACUGUUGUUGGUUUUUGAAAAGAAACACCAACAACAGCAGCAACAAGAAGAAAACAGUCUCGAGGUUCAAAUGAGCGUUCUGCUGAACAAGAGAGCAGACAACCUCUUCAGACUUAAGAUCAUCAACCAAUAAACAUCAUAGACGUCAAACACUCAGAGUUUGGAUGUCUUUCUCAUUUCUCUGAUGAUCAUCAUGUUCAGACUCAGACCAACAGUGUGUGUCUGUGCUGUCUGUCAGUGAACCUGAACUACAGUUUAUUCAUCUUCAUGUUGUUCAUGAGAUUUACUGACUCAAAGUCAAACUGUGUUACAAACAUAAAUGAAUUUAUAUGAUAUUAUCUCAGAAUAUAUGCAUGUUUUGUUUUUUAGCUUCUUGUUUGUAAGAAAAACUAAAGAUCAGCUGUUACAGUAUAAUUGUUGUUCUGUGAAUUAUAGACUAUUAAUAAUCUGGUUCAUUGUUCAGCUACAACCGCUUUGGUUGACAUUACUUAUUAUUCUCUUUUUGUAUAAAAUUUCAAAUGUUACAGCUUACAGAGGAAAAUUGUGUAAAAAACACAAAAACACAAAAACUACACAAAAAUUUGUGUAGUUACAGACUCAUAUUUCUUCUCUGAUCCUGAACCUUUCUAACCCCUUUCAUUUAACAUUUCCUCCAGUGAAUCUUUGUAAAUCCAAAUUUCUUCAUCUGUGUUAAUAAAGAUUUACAUUUAUACCUGC